rnacentral:rRNA from 1 species
CAAUAGCGUAUAUUAAAGUUGUUGCAGUUAAAAAGCUCGUAGUUGAACUUCAGGCUUGGCGGGGUGGUCUGCCUCACGGUAUGUACUACCCGGCCGAGCCUUACCUCCUGGUGAGCCUGCAUGCCGUUUAUUCGGUGUGUAGGGGAACCAGGAAUUUUACUUUGAAAAAAUUAGAGUGUUCAAAGCAGGCAUAUGCCCGAAUACAUUAGCAUGGCAUAAUAGAAUAGGACGUGCGGUUCUAUUUUGUUGGUUUCUAGGAUCGCCGUAAUGAUUAAUAGGGACGGUUGGGGGCAUUAGUAUUCAGUUGCUAGAGGUGAAAUUCUUAGAUUUACUGAAGACUAACUACUGCGAAAGCAUUUGCCAAGGACGUUUUCAUUAA